UCUUACUUAAGUGGAAAACGAUGUGAAGUUACUUAAACAACCAGGAGGUUGGCUUAGAAGCAGCCAUCCUUUAAAGAAAGCGUAAUAGCUCACUGGUCUAGUGAUUUUGCGCGGAAAAUAUAACGGGGCUAAAGUAAGUACCGAAGCUGUAGACUUAGUUUACUAAGUGGUAGGAGAGCGUUCUAUUUGCGUCGAAGGUAUACCGGUAAGGAGUGCUGGAGCGAAUAGAAGUGAGCAUGCAGGCAUGAGUAGCGAUAAUUAAUGUGAGAAUCAUUAACGCCGUAAACCCAAGGUUUCCUACGCGAUGCUCGUCAUCGUAGGGUUAGUCGGGUCCUAAGUCGAGUCCGAAAGGGGUAGACGAUGGCAAAUUGGUUAAUAUUCCAAUACCAACAUUAGUGUGCGAUGGAAGGACGCUUAGGGCUAAGGGGGCUAGCGGAUGGAAGUGCUAGUCUAAGGUCGUAGGAGGUUAUACAGGCAAAUCCGUAUAACAAUACUCCGAGAACUGAAAGGCUUUUUGAAGUCUUCGGAUGGAUAGAAGAACCCCUGAUGCCGUCGAGCCAAGAAAAGUUUCUAAGUUUAGCUAAUGUUGCCCGUACCGUAAACCGACACAGGUGGGUGGGAUGAGUAUUCUAAGGCGCGUGGAAGAACUCUCUUUAAGGAACUCUGCAAAAUAGCACCGUAUCUUCGGUAUAAGGUGUGGUUAGCUUCGUACUAGGAUUUACUCCGAAAGCGAAGAAACUUACAACAAAGAGUCCCUCCCGACUGUUUACCAAAAACACAGCACUCUGCUAACUCGUAAGAGGAUGUAUAGGGUGUGACGCCUGCCCGGUGCUCGAAGGUUAAUUGAUGGGGUUAGCAUUAGCGAAGCUCUUGAUCGAAGCCCGAGUAAACGGCGGCCGUAACUAUAACGGUCCUAAGGUAGCGAAAUUCCUUGUCGGUUAAAUACCGACCUGCAUGAAUGGCGUAACGAGAUGGGAGCUGUCUCAAAGAGGGAUCCAGUGAAAUUGUAGUGGAGGUGAAAAUUCCUCCUACCCGCGGCAAGACGGAAAGACCCCGUGGACCUUUACUACAGCUUGACACUGCUACUUGGAUAAGAAUGUGCAGGAUAGGUGGGAGGCUUUGAGUAUAUGACGCCAGUUGUAUAUGAGCCAUUGUUGAGAUACCACUCUUUCUUAUUUGGGUAGCUAACCAGCUUGAGUUAUCCUCAAGUGGGACAAUGUCUGGUGGGUAGUUUGACUGGGGCGGUCGCCUCCCAAAUAAUAACGGAGGCUUACAAAGGUUGGCUCAGAACGGUUGGAAAUCGUUCAUAGAGUAUAAAGGUAUAAGCCAGCUUAACUGCAAGACAUACAAGUCAAGCAGAGACGAAAGUCGGUCUUAGUGAUCCGGUGGUUCUGUGUGGAAGGGCCAUCGCUCAAAGGAUAAAAGGUACCCCGGGGAUAACAGGCUGAUCUCCCCCAAGAGCUCACAUCGACGGGGAGGUUUGGCACCUCGAUGUCGGCUCAUCGCAUCCUGGGGCUGGAGCAGGUCCCAAGGGUAUGGCUGUUCGCCAUUUAAAGCGGUACGCGAGCUGGGUUCAGAACGUCGUGAGACAGUUCGGUCCCUAUCUGCCGUGGGCGUAAGAAGAUUGAAGAGAUUUGACCCUAGUACGAGAGGACCGGGUUGAACAAACCACUGGUGUAGCUGUUGUUCUGCCAAGAGCAUCGCAGCGUAGCUAAGUUUGGAAAGGAUAAACGCUGAAAGCAUCUAAGCGUGAAGCCAACUCUAAGAUGAAUCUUCUCUAAGCUCUCUAGAAGACUACUAGUUUGAUAGGCUGGGUGUGUAAUGGAUGAAAGUCCUUUAGCUGACCAGUACUAAUAGAGCGUUUGGCUUAUCUUUAAUAAAGCAU
rnacentral:rRNA from 1 species